CAAAUAUCGUGACAUCUCUCAUUAAAGCGUAUAUUCGAUCUGUUCUUCGUUUGACGACAAUAGUUUCUCUUUUCAACACAAGAGAGUUUAACUUGAUAUAUUUAAGAAAAAGAUUUUAUAGAGUCCAUUUGCGGAAUUCUAGCGACGUGAGUGGUUGCGUUUUGCAUUGUCUGGGCUCGUGGAAAUAUUUGUAUUAUAAUUAUAUUUUAAAAAAUAUUAUUUAAAGUCACGACGGCUUUUGAUUUCGUAAAGUGUUAUUAUGUAUGAAAAAAUUUUUAAAUAAAAAGUGUAAGGCAAUAUCUAAAUAAAAAUUGCAUUACCGAAUUUGGAAGAUACAUUAAAAAUGGGUGAACAAUCUAAAACGCAGUAUACCGAUAGAAAUGAUUAAUUUUGGAAAGCACUAUUCCAUUCGCAACAUUUAUGGAAUCCCUCACGCAUAUUCUUUUCUUAGCUUGAUCAAUUUCCUGCAUCAAAAUCCAAUAACCUAAAAAGCUAGAGAAAGCGUCAAGGACUAUUCUCAUUAAGAUUUAUCGAUAAAUAUUAUUCACGUGGUUGAAAAUCGAUAUAUUCGAACAUAUUUAAGUAAUCAACGAUGCAAAUUGCAA